rnacentral:rRNA from 1 species
UAGUCAUAUGCUUGUCUCAAAGAUUAAGCCAUGCAAGUCUAAGUAUUAGUUUUGAUACAACGAAACUGCGAAUGGCUCAUUAUAACAGUUAUAAUUUACGUGAAGGUAAUUACUACACGGAUAACCGUGGUAAUUCUGGAGCUAAUACGUGCAUAUCACUGGACUUCGGAAAGGUGGCACUUAUUAGAUUAAGAACUAACCUAUGCUUGCAUAGUAGUUGGAUGAUCCAUAAUAAGUUGGCGAAUCGCAUGGCUAAGGCUGGCGAUAGUUCACUUAA